UACGAAGGGGGCUAGCGUUGCUCGGAAUCACUGGGCGUAAAGCGCACGUAGGCGGAUCUUUAAGUCAGGGGUGAAAUCCUGGAGCUCAACUCCAGAACUGCCUUUGAUACUGGGGAUCUCGAGUCCGGGAGAGGUGAGUGGAACUCCGAGUGUAGAGGUGAAAUUCGUAGAUAUUCGGAAGAACACCAGUGGCGAAGGCGGACUCACUGGACUGGUAUUGACGCUGAGGUGCGAAAGCGUGGGGAGCAA
rnacentral:rRNA from 1 species